rnacentral:rRNA from 1 species
AGCGAACGCUGGCGGCAGGCCUAACACAUGCAAGUCGAACGAACCUUUCGGGGUUAGUGGCGGACGGGUGAGUAACACGUGGGAACGUGCCUUUAGGUUCGGAAUAACUCAGGGAAACUUGUGCUAAUACCGAAUGUGCCCUUCGGGGGAAAGAUUUAUCGCCUUUAGAGCGGCCCGCGUCUGAUUAGCUAGUUGGUUGAGGUAAUGGCUCACCAAGGCGACGAUCAGUAGCUGGUCUGAGAGGAUGAUCAGCUACAUUGGGACUGAGACACGGCCCAAACUACUACGGGAGGCAGCAGUGGGGAAUCUUGCGCAAUGGGCGAAAGCCUGACGCAGCCAUGCCGCGUGAAUGAUGAAGGUCUUAGGAUUGUAAAAUUCUUUCACCGGGGACGAUAAUGACGGUACCCGGAGAAGAAGCCCCGGCUAACUUCGUG